UGUUAGCUUAUUUUGCAAGAAAUUUUGGGAGUAGUGUCUUUUUGAUAGGCGUACGAUAUUUUUUUCAUUGGUACGAUAAUUUUGACACUCAAAUACGAUAAUUCUCUUCCGCACACCUGGCAACACUGCUGCAGAUAUCUGUCAUUGUCCCGGUCCGGUCAAUCAAUGAAUCAAUGUCAAAUAAAAAAAAACGGUUUGCGUUUUGAGUAAGUAGAUGAAACGAAACAAAUUAAAAUUUAAUUGAUUUUACGUACCGAAGACACUUUCGCGAGUGUAAGACGUUUAUUGAUCGUUUCUAAGUAAUUAAGAACCGCAACCUCAUAAUAAUGAGCGAGAUUGGUGCUGAAGAUUUAAUGAGCACGGUGAUAAGAUAUGGCCUAUACCUUGGUGCAGCUUUUCAAGUGAUAUGUCUACUGGCUUGUGUUGCUUUGACCGACGAACAGUGUGAGCCGAUUGAUAAUGAAAAGGAAUACACGGACAGUGAUGAUUCCAGCUCAGAACAGUCAUCUCCGGUACGACAAGCCAAUCGUCCACGUCGGCAUGACAAGAGGAAGCGACGUUAGUUAGGUCUAGGCAGAAGGUUGCAGGCGUCCGAAGAAAACACGUAGAUAGAAGAAAUGAACAAAGAUAUAAUGCAGAAAGAACCAGGACGAUACAGAAGAUAGGAAAUUAGAAAUUGAAGCGAUACGGUUAUACAAAUAAGAUCACGUUUUGAUAGCGCGCGGCGAAACUGGUGCGAAGUGGCACGUGCUCUGUCGGGCGGCCGUGUCCACUGCUCCGCGCCUGCCUAGAGAUGGGUAGGGGCAAAUAAUACUCAUCGAGACAGCUUCAUUGGAAACCGGGGCACAACUUUUCCGCAUAAAGCCAAGCAAAAAGAAGGUAUUGAGGUAAAAGCUUAGAACACAAUUAUUGACUCCGUAACUUUGUUUGGACAAGGUAGUUUGGAGGUGAACAUAUCAAAAGUCACCGGUCGUAGCCCUUGAGCCGAGUGGGAAAGGGGGGGAGAAGGUCCCAUUUUUCGGUUUUUACCUAUAUCUUGGAAACUUUGGAUCUUAGCGACAUGACUACUUACACAAAUCGAAAGCUGAUUAAAUUGGCUACAAGUUUAAUUAAGUCACGUUUUCGAUAUCUUGAAUAGUUUUCGAGAUAUUCUCUCUUUAAUAUUUAUUUGGGGCUCUCAAUGUUAUCCUCUGAAUGGUGUCAAUGUCAAUGAGAUACUAUAAAUGAAUUCAGCACCCCCAUUGAUACGAAAAGGAUACCUAACA